rnacentral:misc_RNA from 1 species
GCUGGAGCAGGGCAAGUUUGGCAGUUGGGUUUUUCUGGGCUUCUAUUGUGAAGAACGAUGGAGAGCUAUCAUUGGCCAUCUCUGAAACGUCCACACAGUGUGCUUGAUUUGGUAGACAUUGAUCUCUCCCUUUUCUGUAGGUUGGUUUCGAGUAGUCAAAGCACGCGUGGUACAGGAAACAGCAUCAACAAGUGAAGUAUGCAAAUCUUGGCAGUGCAUGCCGAAUACCCAUAUAAAGGAUUGAUAUUUCUAUGAAGUUAAAAGAAUACGCAUGAUAUUUGCAUAUGUCAUCUAGAAUUUCAUUGGGUUGGAACAUUCUUGAGAGAGGAAAUUUACAGGCAGUGAUUAACUCCUGGUGUCUGCAUCUGUUAGCUUCUAGUAAGAGUGGUCACGGGUGGGCUGUACCACUCCUUGACAAAUGUUGGAAAAUUAAUUGUUCAGUUUUGGAACUACAAAAGCUAAGCCUUA